rnacentral:snoRNA from 1 species
UUUCAUGAUGACAAAGGGCCAUAGCGCCUGAACUAAUCCCAGCUCUUCGAACACCUCAACUAAAACAACGCUCGAGGUCGUACUGAGAUAAAAACCACACUCUGAUAA